AUACUACGAGAAAAGUCAGUCAGAAACGUGAUGAAACCGGUGGAGGAAGUUCACAGUGAAUAACCAAUAGGGCGAAUGGACGAGCGGCAGUUCUCCAAGGGUCAACCACGAAACUGAGGAAGAUGUGAAGCUCACUCUGAGGAGCCCCUGUGUGCUCGGUAGGCUGCCAGCCUGGCCCACAAAAGCCACAGGGGCGCCAGAGGGACAUGCAGGAAGCCGCUCUGUUAACAGCGUCAGGAAAUCAGCCCCCGCCCCGGGCUGGGGCUAUCCAAAGGCAGUGACAGUGGUCCUCAAAUUCCAGCGUCACUGGCCCAGGGGUGGGGCUGCUGAAGGGGGCCGGCAGGAAGAGACACUGACUGGAAAACUUUUCACACAGGCUGAAAGUCCCAAUCCUUGACUCCAAUGAAGCAGCCCUGUCCUGAAGCCACCAAGGGGACCCAGACAUUACAGCCUCUUCUGAACUGCUGGAGUCGUAGCCGAUUUCCCCCCCUUCCCGCCUCGUCCUCCCCUCGGUGCCCGGGGUCCUCGCCCUGCGCGUCGGAGCUGGUCGUUACAACAAACCGAGGAAAGCUCAGGGGGUUUCAGCCACCGCUAUCAUCAGAAGUUCCGCAGUCCAGGAAUCAAGACAAAGCCCCACCGUACGCAGAGAGCUCUAACAAGUGUGCAGUGCGAACUGUCUGCUUCUAGCCCCGGCCUCUCGCCAACUGGUAGCAAUCAGACCGGACACUGGAGGAUGCGGGAAAUCUAAAAUUAGGUUUUGCUACCUAUGUUGGAGGAUUUAUGGGAUGGUCUAAUUGGUAGUUUCAGGACUGAAGCACCAAAUGAGGGGAACAAAAACAUUGUUCUAGACAAACCCUAUGUGCUCACACGCUUUCCCUGAGCCUCACCUGCAACAAAUAGGGGUGCAAGUCUGAGUGGACGGAGGGACGCCGCCCUGCCUUCCCUGCACCCGAGCCUGUCUCCCAAGGGCACCAGCAUGGCAGGGCAGCGCAGACCGGGCAUUCUGAGGAGCAGGGCACCCACUCCAUCUAGUCCUCUCCCGAUGGGCCAAACUACAGAAACAGCGGCCUCAAAGCCCAGAAGUCAACCCCAGUUCGCCCGCGUGUACCUCUUCAUGGCCACGUUCGGCACUCGAGGGGCCUUUGGAAAGCUUCCUGAAUCCCGUUAGUAAGGAAUCGCUGAAGUCUGUUUCUCUGUGUCCGCCAUGUGUUCGGAAAGAGUUCAAGCAAAGAGGAGAAAAGAACACAGCCCCGAGCUGUGAGUCGGUUAGCAACGGGGGAUUCCUACCUCAUGAUGCUCAUCCCCCUGCAGGCGACGACUCCCAGCCAGGCGCCCACAGAAACACCCACUGCAGAGAGGGGAGCUGGGAGACACAGCCCCUUCCGCUGGCUCGCCCAUGAUCUCACCCAGCCUUGGUGGGGUGGCUCCUCUCCCCCUGGACCCACUGGGGCGGAGGUGACAGCGGCCCCGAGUAGAGGUCAAACCAGCAAAAGGGCAAGUGCAGCGCCUGGCCUUCGGAAUCCUACAGUUUGAGCGCCCCCCAAAACUCAGGCAGAAUGCAACCCCAAGGUGAGGGAUUAGGAGAGCAGACAUUCCAUCGGGCAUGGGAUUGGAGGAAGAGUCUGAGCAGGAAUUCAGAUCAGAUGAGGUCUGGAAGGUGGUGUCCCCAGGAUGGCAUCAGUGGCUUUGUGAGAAGAAGAAGAGGGACCCACAGUGCCUUUGAGACGAAAGGCAUUCCUAGGGGUGCCCUCUGCCGUGUUUUGAUGCAGAAAGAAGCCCUCAAGCAAAGCUGGCCCCAACCUCUCUGGCUUCCCAGCUUCCAGGGCCAUGAGCUGAGCUUCUGUUCUUUAUCAAUUACCCAGUCUCAGGUAUCUCCUAA